rnacentral:rRNA from 1 species
ACGGGAGGCAGCAGCUAAGAAUAUUCCGCAAUGGACGAAAGUCUGACGGAGCGACGCCGCGUGGGUGAUGAAGGCCGGGAGGUCGUAAAAUCCUUUUAUGACUGAGGAAUAAGUAUGGUGAGAGAAACGCCAUAUGGUGACUGUAGGUCAUGCAUAAGCAACGGCUAAUUACGUGCCAGCAGCCGCGGUAACACGUAAGUUGCGAGCGUGGUUCGGAAUUAUUGGGCGUAAAGGGCAUGUAGGCGGUUUUGCAAGCUUGGUGUGAAAUCCCGGAGCUUAACUCCGGAAUUGCGUCGAGAACUGCAUAACUAGAGUCACUGAGGGGCAAUCAGAAUUCCAGGUGUAGGGGUGAAAUCUGUAGAUAUCUGGAAGAAUACCAAUGGCGAAGGCAGGUUACCAGCAGAUGGCUGACGCUGAGGUGCGAAGGUGCGGGGAGCAAACAGGAUUAGAUACCCUGGUA